GUGCACAUGUGUAGUCAGCCGGCAUUUUUCGAGUUGUGUUGUAAAUGUUGUUAAUUCGCCGUAAAUAUCUCUUGAUUUGUGCUCAAGAGUGGAGCAAGACCCCAAGGAAGAGAGAUUGACGCAUCGGGAGCGAAGAACAGAAACGAUGGAUGGUUACGCUGCUUGGGUCUCGGCACGUUCGAAUUGGCAAAGUUCCGAAUUUGUCGCUGUGUUGUGUGCGCUUGUGCGCUCGUCAUUUGCCGUCAUCGCGCGGAGAUAUUUGCGCUGGAUGUCUUUCACUUCGUGUACAAAACUCUGCACGCUGCGGCAUCGAAGAAGUUGUCCUGUGUUUGGGUGCACGUAUGCGCUUGGACACGGAUAGCCUGCUUGCUCUCAACGGGUGUUCAACAGUCUACGCGCGCUCGUAACUUGCUCAUGAGGCAAGUUGCUGUUGUGCUGGAGCUGAGAAGAGGUCUGCCGCCUGCAAUGGGUCCAUCUCUCUCAAGUUAUUGCAGUAUUGUAGCUCACAAGGUUCAAAAAAAGUAGGGUGGAAGCUGUUGCCAAGGUUCCGACCAGAAAAGACAGCCAGUAUAAAAGGGUCCACGCCACUGAUCUCUACUACAGGGGAUGAACAGCACAUCGAGCGCCCUCGACUAAAGCCGGCCUUGUCCCGGAAGUUGGUGCUUCACAACUUUGCGGCACCACUUUGUUGCAUGGCCUGUGGAGACAAGGUUUCUUAGACAUGGCCAUGGCCCUCAAGGAAGAUGCCGAGGCCACAGGCAGUUCCUCCAGUGACCGUGAAAAGGUCCCCUGGGGCACAAGUCUGGUUUGGCACCCCCACCUUUCUCCUGCAGCUUUUCUGUCUACUUAGCUAACCAGCAGCAAGUUUAUCCUUGCAAGCGUUUGGAGUCAAGAACAACUUUCACCAGGAAGAAGUGCGAGACGAGUGAUUGAAGAAAAUAAAGUUGCUUCUGUG